UACGGGGGGAGCAAGCGUUGUUCGGAUUUACUGGGCGUAAAGGGCGCGUAGGCGGCCACCGCAAGUCGACUGUGAAAUCUCCGGGCUUAACCCGGAAAGGUCAGCCGAUACUGCGGGGCUAGAGUGCAGAAGGGGCAACUGGAAUUCCCGGUGUAGUGGUGAAAUGCGUAGAGAUCGGGAGGAACACCCGUGGCGAAGGCGGCUCACUGGGCUGACCUUGACGCUGAGGCGCGAAGGCGUGGGGAGCGAACGGG
rnacentral:rRNA from 1 species